UGGACAGAUUAUUGUAUUCAACUGUAUUCGACUGUAUUCACGGUGUGAUAUAGGGGAUUACACUGUUUUUAAAAUGAAAAGUGAAUCAAUUAACAUAAUAGACUCCU
rfam:Nicotiana attenuata strain TT chromosome 11, whole genome shotgun sequence.